rnacentral:rRNA from 1 species
CCUACGGGAGGCAGCAGUGAGGAAUAUUGGUCAAUGGACGCAAGUCUGAACCAGCCAUGCCGCGUGCAGGAAGACGGCUCUAUGAGUUGUAAACUGCUUUUGUACGAGGGUAAACUCCGAUACGCGUAUCUUUCUGUAUGUACCCUACGAAUAAGGAUCGGCUAACUCCGGGCCAGCAGCCGCGGUAAUACGGAGGGUUCAAGCGUUAUCCGGAUUUAUUGGGUUUAAAGGGUGCGUAGGCGGGCGGUUAAGUUAGAUGUGAAAUCCCGGGGCUCAACUUCGGAAGUGCCUCUGAUACUGUUGGGCUAGAGGGUAGUUGCGGUAGGCGGAAUGUGUGGUGUAGCGGUGAAAUGCUUAGAGAUCAUGCAGAACACCGAUUGCGAAGGCAGCAUACC